GACGUAGGUGGCGAACGUUUAUCCGGAUUUAUUGGGCGUAAAGGAUGCGUAGACGGUAAAACAAGUUACUACUUGACGUCGAGCUCAACUUUGACUGAAAUUAGUAAUACUAUUUGCUAGAGAUUGGGAGAAGUUGAUGGAAAUCUAUGUGGAGGGGUAGAAAUCCGAUUGAUCUAUAGAGUACCACCAAAAGGCGAAGGGCAAUUGACUAUUCCAUUUCUGACGUUGAGGCAU
rnacentral:rRNA from 1 species